rnacentral:rRNA from 1 species
UACGAAGGGGGCUAGCGUUGCUCGGAAUCACUGGGCGUAAAGGGUGCGUAGGCGGGUCUUUUAAGUCAGGGGUGAAAUCCUGGAGCUCAACUCCAGAACUGCCUUUGAUACUGAAGAUCUUGAGUCCGGGAGAGGUGAGUGGAACUGCGAGUGUAGAGGUGAAAUUCGUAGAUAUUCGCAAGAACACCAGUGGCGAAGGCGGCCUCACUGGCCCGGUACUGACGCUGAGGCACGAAAGCGUGGGGAGCAAACAGG